CUCGUUCUAUCUUGCUGCAGAAUAGCACACUUCAGUAGCCCUUCAGAAAGCUGUCAGACUCCACCCUGGUGCUGCGUCCUUCUAAAUUAAAGCGAGAGGGAGACGCAGAGGACAAUGCAGGAGAAACGGCAUGGAAAGUCUCGGUCUCCAUGGUGUUCGGAGGAGCAGUAGCAGGUGUGGAUUGGACCUGUUUUUCUCCUGUUCUCAUCUCUGUCUCGAUCCUCCUCCAUCUUUCAUGCUGUUGAACUGGAUGGAUGUUGGUUCAUUGUGAGCGUCCCUCUGAUUCUCUCGCUGUGUUCCUCCCGCUGUCACAUCGAACAGGCCCAGCAGCAUCUGUCCACGUUCACUUUCAGUUCAUGGAAAAAGCAGCAUGAACCUUCUAUUAAACGUCUCCUUUUGCGUUCCACGCAAGAAAGAAAGUCCUGCGGGUUUGGACCGACAUGAAGCAUUACAGGGCUCUGGUGCUGGAGUCGGUUCAUCUGUAGGCAGGAGAGGAGCGUGUCAAAGCAUCAGCAGAUGGUGAACAGCAUCAAAAGAGCCGCUGCUGUCAUCAGAGAUCAGAGGCCGCGACACUGACCAAACGGCAUAAGUGAAGAGCAUGAGGAGUCAAACAAAGCUCGUUUUCUGAGACGUGCAGAUGGAGGGGUCAGAAUCUGGCAAAGACGGCUCGAAAACAUGGACCCGACCAUCAAAUAGAGACUUUGUGCCAUGACACCUUAUUUCAAUUCAGUAAAGAGGAUUUUGUUUCUUGGCAGAGUUGUAGAAAACCCUGUGUGCAUUUGCUCCCGGAAGUUGCAUAAAUCCGGCCAAUCAGAUGAGAGCUUGCCAGAUCAAGAAAGUGCUUUUCACUUUUCGUGUGCAGUAUGCAGUGAGCAGACUGUGUAUUUGAGACAGAGACAAUAUGACGCUUUAUAGAUAUUAUUUACCGUCUGUGGAGGGAUUAAGAAUAAAAGUGGUGAAAAUGAUUAUGUGAAAAGCUGAUGUGUUGAUAAAGUAGGAUUAACUUGUGUGUGGUGAACUUCUCUCACAUGCUGUCCUCUAACUGGACAGUUGUUUAAUCGCCACACAGAUCCUGUCAGUUAAAUGCUCAAAUGUUUUGUUUUAGUGCUUGUGAUUCCUCAUAAAAAUCAUAAAAAGUCAUAAAAAUCAUGAACUCUUUAAUGCAAACCUGCUAUGUUUUCCAUUCUGUCAGA
ensembl:lncRNA